ensembl:lncRNA
UCUUCCACAUUUUAGGUUAAAGACUUAUUCUAAAAUAGAUUCAAUUGUUUUUUUUCUGAAACAAUCUACACACAAUACCCCAUAAUGACCAAGAUUUCUUUUUUUUUCUUUUUUUUUGCAAAUGUAUGAAAUAUAAAAAACUGAAAUAUUACAUUUACAUUAUGUAGCAGGCUGAAGCGGGUAGGGUUUCCACGUCACCAAGUUCAAUAACCAAACACGCACAGGGAGCACAACUAGAAUUCAAAUGGUGAAUUUAUUAGGGAUAUUUGCACACGGUGGGAAAGGGGGGUUCCAGCAACCAGUUCACAACGGGUAAUCAUACAGAUACUUCUCCCACUUCUCACACUCUCCAUAACCCGUGUUUCCCUCUCGGUCCUAUUCCUCUUUGUGCAGCCCGCUUCCUCUUUUAUCCUCAAGCACUCAAUGGCUUAAUGAAUCACCGGCUUGCCUUGUUGGUGCAGGAUGUCCAUAUAAGGCUCAGGGGUGGAGCCAGCAGGCUACAAGAUAUCUUCCUUCAAUCACCACUCCCCUUACCCUCACCUCUCCCUGCCAUCUGCCCCCCCUCAGCUCCGACCGGGAGGGAGGGGCGGUCCGGCUCCCUUAAACAUCCCUCCUAGAGAGUACAUCGGCAUUUCCAUGGGCUGCACCUGAUCUGUGGAUGACAGAGACAGCAAAUGGAUAUAAGGAUAGGAACCAGCGGGUGACCUGGGUGUUACUGUCCUUAUUCCGUGACAUCCAAACCAGUGGUGUCACAAGGGUGAAGUGCCGUCCCAGCUAAUCAAGACCAGAGGUGGGUCAAGGAGCCAGAUAUUUAUCUGAACCAGUGAAUAGCUCCUCCAGCUGGGAUGGUACUCAGGACGUGGUGAAGACGAGCAUCCUGCUGUGGUCACUGAGGGGAACGAACAGAGAUGGAAGCCCCACAUUCCUACCAGAGCGAGAAGGGUUCUCUUGUACCCUCUUAACCCCAGACCCUGGUCUGGACAGGGACACCUCUCUAACCCCUCACUCACCCAUCUGGGAACCAGAUCAACUGCAGUUACCAAAGCAGGUCAGACAAGGUUAAGCAGCUCCAUCAGGAUAAUCUGGGAUGAUGGUGUCUGCUGACCUGUGUGACUUCAUAAUGGGGGAAUACUGGCUCCAUUCCUUGAUGUGCUGGGAACUAUGCAAGAACCUUCUGUCUGCCCCUGAAUGAGAGGAGGGAAUGGGGGACCCCGUCAGACCUCUAUCAAAGGGAUACUAUCGCCUCCUACUGUCGCUGUCAUUGCAUUACACCUCAGCACUAUCUCUCCAAGCUGCUCACAGCCUACAGAGUAGAAAACAGAGUGCCUGGAGCUGGGCUACACAAGUACAUGGAAAGACCUCAGGACACAAUCUACACACCGCAAAGGCCACCCUGUAUCUGAGGACCUGAGCCUCAGGACUACCUGGCCGGAUGACUCCUGGCUGUCCCUGUCCCCAGUCCACCUGGUUGUGCUGCUGAUCCAGUGUCUGCUGUUCUGCCUACGGCUAUGUUACCCUGUCCUGUUCACCGGACGUGCUACCUUGUCCCGGACCUGCUGUUUCUACUCUCUCUCUCUCUCUCCCUCUCUCUACUGCACCCUCUGUCUCGUCCUCUGAAUGCUCAGCUAUGAAAAGCCAACUGAGAUUUACUUUUGAGGUGCUGACCUGUUGUACCCUUUCUAACCACUGUGAUUAUUAUUUCAUCUAUGAAGAUUUGAACAUCAAAUAUGCGUGUGUGAGUGAUUGGGGGGCAAGCUGUAAUGGGAUUACACACAUUAAACAGCUGUUUGUAAAAUUACCUCACUCUGUGUCAUUCAGGACCUUUCUGUUCUGUAAUCAGGAGGCUGGGUGAGGACGGGCUUCCCACGACAAAUCACAUGCUUGUAUGUCAAGUCCACAGACAUGUUCUUACACACCCACUACUCUUAAUAUGCUCUCAUAACAUGUGUGUGCCUUUCUCUAUAUCAAAUCCAAUUUUAUUAGUCACAUGCGCCAAAUACAAACUUACAGUAAAAUGCUUACUUAUGAUGUCACUCCCUGACCUUAGAGAGCCUGUUUAUUUCUCUAUUUGGUUAGGUCAGAGUGUGAUUUGGGUGGGCAUUCUAGUUUUCUAUUUCUUUGUUGGCCGGGUAUGGUUCCCAUAUGAGGCAGCUGUCUAUUGUUGUCUCUGAUUGGGAAUCACAAUUAGGCAGUCUGUUUUCCACCUGAGUUUGCGGGAUCUUGUUUUUGCACAGUAGCUGUAUAGCCCUGCAAAACUAUGUUUGUUUAUCUUUUGUUGUUCAUCUAAAAUAAAGAAAGAUGUACACUUUC